CGCCUGUUUAUCAAAAACAUGUUUUUUAGUUUUUAUUAAAAAAUUUAAUCUGCCCAAUGAUUUUUUUUAAUGGCCGCAGUAAUUUGACUGUGCAAAGGUAGCAUAAUAAUUAGUCUUUUAAUUAAAGUCUUGUAUGAAUGAUUGGAUGAGAAAUUAUCUUUCUUUAUUAUUUUAACUGAAUUUGAUAUUUAGGUGAAAAAGCUUAAAUUUUUCUGUGGGACGAUAAGACCCUAUAGAUCUUUAAAAUUAUUUUUUUUUAAUAUUUUUAGAAUUUAUAUUUGUUAUUAAAUUAUUAAUUUUUUUGUUGGGGUGAUAAAUUAAUUAAUAUAACUUUUUUAUGUUUUUUCAUUAAUUUAUGUUUUUAUGAUCUUUUAUUAAUGAUUAAUAGAUUAAGUUACCUUAGGGAUAACAGCGUGAUUUAUUUGGAAAGUUCAUAUUUAUAAAUAAGUUUGCGACCUCGAUGUUGGAUUAAGAUUAGAAUAAGGGGUAGGUUUUUUA
rnacentral:rRNA from 1 species